rnacentral:rRNA from 1 species
AGUGAACGCUGGCGGCAGGCCUAACACAUGCAAGUCGAGCGGCAGCGCGGGGGCAACCCUGGCGGCGAGCGGCGGACGGGUGAGGAAUUCGUCGGAAUCUGCCUUUUUGUGGGGGAUAACGUAGGGAAACUUACGCUAAUACCGCAUACGUCCUACGGGAGAAAGUGGGGGACCGCAAGGCCUCACGCAGAAAGAUGAGCCGACGACCGAUUAGCUAGUUGGUGGGGUAAAGGCCCACCAAGGCGACGAUCGGUAGCUGGUCUGAGAGGAUGAUCAGCCACACUGGGACUGAGACACGGCCCAGACUCCUACGGGAGGCAGCAGUGGGGAAUAUUGGACAAUGGGCGCAAGCCUGAUCCAGCCAUGCCGCGUGUGUGAAGAGGGCCUUCGGGUUGUAAAGCACUUUUGUCCGGAAAGAAAUCCCUGGAGCUAAUACCUUCGGGGGAUGACGGUACCGGAAGAAUAAGCACCGGCUAACUUCGUG